GAGUUUGAUCCUGGCUCAGGAUGAACGCUAGCUACAGGCUUAACACAUGCAAGUCGAACGGACUUAACCAUUAGUUUACUAUUGGAGCGGUUAGUGGCGGACUGGUGAGUAACACGUAAGCAACCUGCCUAUCAGAGGGGAACAACAGUUAGAAAUGACUGCUAAUACCGCAUAUGCCUUAAGCAUCACAUGGUGCUAGAGGGAAAGACAUCCGCUGAUAGAUGGGCUUGCGUCUGAUUAGCUAGUUGGUGGGUAAUGGCCUACCAAGGCGACGAUCAGUAGCCGAACUGAGAGGUUGAACGGCCACAUUGGGACUGAGAUACGGCCCAGACCUCCGUA
rnacentral:rRNA from 1 species